rnacentral:pre_miRNA from 1 species
AGUAAUGAUUGUCCAAACGCAAUUCUUGAUGAAUUUGAAAAUUCAAGGAUUGAGUGGGGACAUCAGGUCUU